rnacentral:rRNA from 1 species
AGUGAACGCUGGCGGCAGGCCUAAUACAUGCAAGUCGAACGGCAGCACAGCAGAGCUUGCUCUGUGGGUGGCGAGUGGCGGACGGGUGAGGAAUACAUGGGAAUCUGCCCAGUCGUGGGGGAUAACGUAUGGAAACGUACGCUAAUACCGCAUGCGCCCUACGGGGGAAAGCCGGGGACCGCAAGGCCUGGCGCGAUUGGAUGAGCCCAUGUUCGAUUAGCUAGUUGGCGGGGUAAAGGCCCACCAAGGCGACGAUCGAUAGCUGGUCUGAGAGGAUGAUCAGCCACACUGGAACUGAGACACGGUCCAGACUCCUACGGGAGGCAGCAGUAGGGAAUAUUGGACAAUGGGGGCAACCCUGAUUCAGCCAUGCCGCGUGAGUGAAGAAGGCCCUCGGGUUGUAAAGCUCUUUUGUCCGGAAAGAAAAGCAUUUGGUUAAUACCCGGGUGUUCUGACGGUACCGGAAGAAUAAGCACCGGCUAACUUCGUGCC